UACGAAGGGUGCAAGCGUUAUCCGGAUUCAUUGGGUUUAAAGGGUGCGUAGGCGGACUCGCAAGUGCUUUGUGAAAUCCCACGGCUCAACCAUGGAAUUGCUUGGCAGACUGCGGGUCUUGAGGUUGGUAGGGGUCGCCGGAACUCUAGGUGGAGCGGUGAAAUGCGUAGAUAUCUAGAGGAACGCCAAAGGUGAAGACAGGCGACUGGGCCAAAUCUGACGCUGAGGCACGAAAGCGUGGGGAGCGAACGGG
rnacentral:rRNA from 1 species